UCUUCCCACCAAAGCCUUUUCCUCCACCACUUCCAGUCUACAAGAAGCCACUCCCACCUCCAGUUCCAAUCUACAAGCCAGAGCCAAAACCACCAGUCUUCAAGCCUCCUCCGGUCCCAAUCUACAAGAAGCCACUCCCACCUCCAGUUCCAAUCUACAAGCCAGAGCCAAAACCACCAGUCUUCAAGCCUCCUCCGGUCCCAAUCUACAAGCCAAAACCACCAGUCUUCAAGCCUCCUCCGAUCCCAAUCUACAAGAAGCCACUCCCACCUCCAGUUCCAAUCUACAAGCCAGAGCCAAAACCACCAGUCUUCAAGCCUCCUCCGGUCCCAAUCUACAAGAAGCCACUCCCACCUCCAGUUCCAAUCUACAAGCCAGAGCCAAAACCACCAGUUUUCAAGCCUCCUCCGGUCCCAAUCUACAAGCCAAAACCACCAGUCUUCAAGCCUCCUCCGGUCCCAAUCUAUAAGAAGCCACUCCCACCUCCAGUUCCAAUCUACAAGCCAGAGCCAAAACCACCAGUUUUCAAGCCUCCUCCGGUCCCAAUCUACAAGCCAAAACCACCAGUCUUCAAACCCCCUCCUGUUCCAGUCUACAAACCAAAGCCAAAACCACCAAUCUACAAGCCUCUCCCACCUCCUGUUCCCAUCUCCAAGCCUCUCCCUCCAAUCCCAAAGAUCCCUCCAUUUUAUAAGAAGCCAUUGCCCCCUCUUCCUAAGCUUCCCCCUCACCCCAAGAUUCCCCCAAUCUACAAGCCUAAACCACCAGUCUUCAAGC
rnacentral:lncRNA from 1 species